UUUGUAUAAUGGGUCAGCGACUUAUAUUCAGUGGCAAGGUUAACCAUCUAGGGGAGCCGUAGGGAAACCGAGUCUUAACUGGGCGUUCAGUCUCUGGAUAUAGACCCGAAACCAGGUGAUCUAGCCAUGGGCAGGUUGAAGGUUGAGUAACAUCAACUGGAGGACCGAACCGACUAAUGUUGAAAAAUUAGCGGAUGACUUGUGGCUAGGGGUGAAAGGCCAAUCAAACCUGGAGAUAGCUGGUUCUCCCCGAAAGCUAUUUAGGUAGCGCCUCGGACGAAUACUACUGGGGGUAGAGCACUGUUAAGGCUAGGGGGUCAUCCCGACUUACCAACCCUUUGCAAACUCCGAAUACCAGUAAGUACUAUCCGGGAGACACACGGCGGGUGCUAACGUCCGUCGUGGAGAGGGAAACAACCCAGACCGCCAGCUAAGGUCCCAAAUUACUACUAAGUGGGAAACGAUGUGGGAAGGCUCAGACAGCCAGGAUGUUGGCUUAGAAGCAGCCAUCAUUUAAAGAAAGCGUAAUAGCUCACUGGUCGAGUCGGCCUGCGCGGAAGAUGUAACGGGGCUAAGUAGUAAACCGAAGCUGCGGCAAUAUACUUUUGUAUAUUGGGUAGGGGAGCGUUCUGUAAGCGGUUGAAGGUGUGUGGUAACGCAUGCUGGACGUAUCAGAAGUGCGAAUGCUGACAUGAGUAACGAUAAAGGGGGUGAAAAACCUCCUCGCCGGAAGACCAAGGGUUCCUGUCCAACGUUAAUCGGGGCAGGGUAAGUCGACCCCUAAGGCGAGGCCGAAAGGCGUAGUCGAUGGGAAACGGGUUAAUAUUCCCGUACUUCUUACAAUUGCGAUGGGGGGACGGAGAAGGCUAGGUGGGCCUGGCGACGGUUGUCCAGGUUCAAGUGCGUAGGCUGAGAAAUUAGGUAAAUCCGGUUUCUCUUAAGGCUGAGACACGACGUCGAGCUACUACGGUAGUGAAGUCAUUGAUGCCAUGCUUCCAGGAAAAGCCUCUAAGCUUCAGAUUGUAAGGAAUCGUACCCCAAACCGACACAGGUGGUCGGGUAGAGA
rnacentral:rRNA from 1 species